rnacentral:rRNA from 1 species
GAUGAACGCUGGCGGCGUGCCUAAUACAUGCAAGUCGAGCGAACAGACGAGGAGCUUGCUUCUCUGACGUUAGCGGCGGACGGGUGAGUAACACGUGGAUAACCUACCUAUAAGACUGGGAUAACUUCGGGAAACCGGAGCUAAUACCGGAUAAUAUAUUGAACCGCAUGGUUCAAUAGUGAAAGACGGUUUUGCUGUCACUUAUAGAUGGAUCCGCGCCGCAUUAGCUAGUUGGUAAAGUAACGGCUUACCAAGGCAACGAUGCGUAGCCGACCUGAGAGGGUGAUCGGCCACACUGGAACUGAGACACGGUCCAGACUCCUGCGGGAGGCAGCAGUAGGGAAUCUUCCGCAAUGGGCGAAAGCCUGACGGAGCAACGCCGCGUGAGUGAUGAAGGUCUUCGGAUCGUAAAACUCUGUUAUUAGGGAAGAACAAAUGUGUAAGUAACUAUGCACGUCUUGACGGUACCUAAUCAGAAAGCCACGGCUAACUACGUG